UGAGACUAGGGAACUUCAAAUCA
rnacentral:piRNA from 1 species